ACGGAAGAUCGGGAACUCUGUCCCCAUUAUUUGGUAUUCAGAGCCUCAGGUGUACUGUCAAGUUUAUAUUUACCCUAGUUUAGUUGAUUUUGCUUCGUCCCAUAGUCCACCGUCAUAUUUGUUUUCUGUCCUACAACCAUAUGCGCCAUAGCCUUGAAUAUUUCGGUUUCAGAGUUCACCGUGUUGAGUUUGUGUUCUAGGUCAAGGUCUUAUUGUUGGUUUAGAUUGUGUUCUUUCCUACUUUGUGUUAAUCUCUCCACCGGCCGCCAUCCUGUAUCAUCAUCUGUUUGCAUCUUGUGUCCACUAAGGCCUUGUUUAGUUCCGAUUUUUUUUUAUUUCGGGGUACUAUAGCACUUUUAUUUUUAUUUGGCAAUUAUUGUUCAAUCAUGGACUAACUAGACUUAAAAGAUUUAUCUCGUGAUUUACAGAUAAAUUGUGCAAUUAGUUUUUAUUUUUGUCUAUAUUUAGUGCUUCAUGCAUGUGCCGCAAGAUUCGAUGUGACGGGAAAUCUUGAAAAGUUUUUGGUUUUUGGUAGGAACUAAACAAGGCCUAAAACCCUAAUUUGAAAAGUUUCCUUAAAACUGUCAUGACUUUUACAUCCAAACUCGAAACGUAGUAAAUUUUAUAUCUACGGAGAACGCUAGAAAAUUUUUGAUCUGUUUUCGGAGAAGCAUAGCUGGGUUCGUAAAAAUUAGAUUUGCAAAAUUUGAUCAGGAAAGUUUUCGAGCCCACAAGUUUUGGCAUGACUUUUAGAGCACAAUCCUGAUUUUCUAUAGGCCACAUCUUUUAUCCAAUUAGGCUAAAUAUUUUGUGGUUUGCCCUUGUGUGCUUCUUGCUAAAGAAAAAAAUCAAAGAGCAAAAGCAAGAAAAAAAUUGGACAAAAAAGAAAAGAAAAAAUAUAGUAAAAAGUGAAGAGAUCGAAAAAGGAGCACACAAGGAACGCUCAAUAGUUGUGGUGCCUUUUGCCCUGUCCAUAUUUCUAUUGCUACCUUUCAUACUUGUUUCUAUUCAUACUUAUUUCACUCCUUUAUUUAUCACAACUGGUGCUAGAAACACGUAUAGGUCAGCAACUAGGACAAGUGCUCUGGACAUUUAUUUAAUAUACUAUCUGUAACGGACUUGUGUACCACAUAUAUAUAUUUAUUCUUUUGUAUGCCUUCUAAGCUUCACAUAUACUUC
rnacentral:lncRNA from 1 species